UGGGGAAUUUUGGACAAUGGGCGAAAGCCUGAUCCAGCAAUGCCGCGUGUGUGAAGAAGGCCUUCGGGUUGUAAAGCACUUUUGUCCGGAAAGAAAUCCUUGGCUCUAAUACAGUCGGGGGAUGACGGUACCGGAAGAAUAAGCACCGGCUAACUACGUGCCAGCAGCCGCGGUAAUACGUAGGGUGCAAGCGUUAAUCGGAAUUACUGGGCGUAAAGCGUGCGCAGGCGGUUUGCUAAGACCGAUGUGAAAUCCCCGGGCUCAACCUGGGAACUGCAUUGGUGACUGGCAGGCUAGAGUAUGGCAGAGGGGGGUAGAAUUCCACGUGUAGCAGUGAAAUGCGUAGAGAUGUGGAGGAAUACCGAUGGCGAAGGCAGCCCCCUGGGCAAGUACUGACGCUCAUGCACGAAAGCGUGGGGAGCAAACNGGAUUAAUNCCCUGGUAGUCCACG
rnacentral:rRNA from 1 species